CGCGUAGGUGGAUAUUUAAGUCGGAUGUGAAAUCCCCGGGCUUAACCUGGGAAUUGCAUUCGAUACUGGAUAUCUUGAGUAUGGUAGAGGAAAGCGGAAUUCCCGGUGUAGCGGUGAAAUGCGUAGAUAUCGGGAAGAACAUCAGGGCGAAGGCGGCUUUCUGGACCAAUACUGACACUGAGGCGCGAGAGCGUGGGGAGCAAACAG
rnacentral:rRNA from 1 species